rnacentral:rRNA from 1 species
GUGGGGAAUAUUGGACAAUGGGCGCAAGCCUGAUCCAGCCAUGCCGCGUGAGUGAUGAAGGCCUUAGGGUUGUAAAGCUCUUUUGUCCGGGAAGAUAAUGACUGUACCGGAAGAAUAAGCCCCGGCUAACUUCGUGCCAGCAGCCGCGGUAAUACGAAGGGGGCUAGCGUUGCUCGGAAUCACUGGGCGUAAAGGGCGCGUAGGCGGACUUUUAAGUCGGAGGUGAAAGCCCAGGGCUCAACCCUGGAAUUGCCUUCGAUACUGAGAGUCUUGAGUUCGGAAGAGGUUGGUGGAACUGCGAGUGUAGAGGUGAAAUUCGUAGAUAUUCGCAAGAACACCAGUGGCGAAGGCGGCCAACUGGUCCGAUACUGACGCUGAGGCGCGAAAGCGUGGGGAGCAAACAGGAUUAGAAACCCUUGUAGUCC